CCAUAUCUAUAACUACCUGGUUUAUCUUUAUCUAUAACUACCUGGUUUAUCUAUAUCUAUAACUUCCUGGUUUAUCUAUAUCUAUAACUACCUGGUUUAUCUAUAACUACCUGGUUUAUCUAUAACUACCUGGUUUAUCCAUAUCUAUAACUACCUGGUUUAUCUAUAACUGCCUGGUUUAUCAAUAUCUAUAACUACCUGGUUUAUCUAUAACUACCUGGUUAAUCCAUAUCUAUAACUACCUGUUUUAUC
rnacentral:lncRNA from 13 species